rnacentral:rRNA from 1 species
AUUGAACGCUGGCGGCAGGCCUAACACAUGCAAGUCGAACGAGUGGCGGACGGGUGAGCAAUGUCUGGGAAACUGCCUGAUGGAGGGGGAUAAAUACUGGAAACGGUAGCUAAUACUGCUUACCAUGCGUUGUGCCCAGAUGGGUUUAGUUAGUAGGGGGGGUAACGGCUCAUCUAGGCGACGAUCCCUAGCUGGUCUGAGAGGAUGACCAGCCACACUGUGACUGAGACACGGUCCAGACUCCUACGGGAGGCAGCAGUGGGGAAUAUUGCACAAUGGGCGCAAGCCUGAUGCAGCCAUGCCGCGUGUUUGAAGAAGGCCUUCGGGUUGUAAAGUCCUUUCGGCGGGGAGGCGUUACCCGCAGAGGAAGCACCGGCUAACUCCGUGCCAGCAGCCGCGGUAAUAC